GAUGGCCUCUGAGACCUCUGUGGGUGACUGCAGGGGUGGUGCUUGGGAGACCCAGCCUGGGGAGGACCGAGGGUGAGGCCUCUGCUCUGGGCACAGGUUUUCCCAAGAGCAAGAUACACCCUACAGGGGCAGAGCGUCUUGCCCUGGGCCAUGGGCGAGCAGGAGGUGGCAGCAGGCUGGAGCUGCUAGGCUAGACCGGUUCCCUUUGCCAGACUCUGUGGGGCAGUGCCUCUGUAUCCAGGAGCCAAGGCUUGCACGAAGGUAGAAUUGAAAAAGAAGGGAAACCUUGGACACAGUUUAUACGUGAUUGGAGCCAAGACCUGGCCCCGUCCCCUUGCAAGAACCACUGAAGGUCAAGCUCACUGGGGCCAACACGACCUGAGAUAAUGUAAGACCAUGAAGGCGUCCAACAACAGUUAGGUGGUGACACUGGAAGAGGCAAUGGUCACAGAGUAUGAAGGCAGGAAAAGGCUUUGUCACAAAACCUUAAGAACUUGAAUACCUUUUGCUGUUGCAAUUCCACCUUGAGUUCAUUAUAAUAAAAUAAUACAUGGAGCAGA